rnacentral:rRNA from 1 species
AGCAGCCGCGGUAAUUCCAGCUCCAAUAGCGUAUAUUAAAGUUGUUGCAGUUAAAAGCUCGUAGUUGAAUUUCGGGAUUAGUACGCUGGUCGUGCCUUCGGUACGUACUGGUGUUACUGAUUCCUACCUUCUGACGAACCGUCAUGUCAUUAAUUUGAUGUGGCGGGGAAUCAGGACUGUUACUUUGAAAAAUUGAGUGUUUAAAGCAGGCUCGCGCUUGAACACAUUAGCAUGGAAUAAUGAAAUAGGACGUUCGAUCCUAUUUUGUUGGUUUCUAGGAUUGACGUAAUGAUUAAUAGGGAUAGUUGGGGGCAUUAGUAUUCAAUUGUCAGAGGUGAAAUCCUUGGAUUUAUUGAAGACUAACUACUGCGAAAGCAUUUGCCAAGGAUGUUUUCAUUAAUCAAGAACGA